GAUGAACGCUGGCGGCGUGCCUAAUACAUGCAAGUCGAGCGAACGGACGAGAAGCUUGCUUUUCUGAUGUUAGCGGCGGAAGGGUGAGUAACACGUGGAUAACCUACCUAUAAGACUGGGAUAACUUCGGGAAACCGGAGCUAAUACCGGAUAAUAUUUUGAACCGCAUGGUUCAAAAGUGAAAGACGGUCUUGCUGUCACUUAUAGAUGGAUCCGCGCUGCAUUAGCUAGUUGGUAAGGUAACGGCUUACCAAGGCAACGAUGCAUAGCCGACCUGAGAGGGUGAUCGGCCACACUGGAACUGAGACACGGUCCAGACUCCUACGGGAGGCAGCAGUAGGGAAUCUUCCGCAAUGGGCGAAAGCCUGACGGAGCAACGCCGCGUGAGUGAUGAAGGUCUUCGGAUCGUAAAACUCUGUUAUUAGGGAAGAACAUAUGUGUAAGUAACUGUGCACAUCUGGACGGUACCUAAUCAGAAAGCCACGGCUAACUACGU
rnacentral:rRNA from 1 species